CUCCCCUACUUCUAUUUGCACAUGUCUCAUGAUUCUGUUACACCAGCUGGCACCUCCGCAAUUCUCUCUUCCCCACAAUUAAGCCCACAAAACUUCAGCUAAUCUUCUAGAGAAUUCUGCCUCAAUUCCAGAACCUUGGGCUUGGGCCUCUUCCAUUCUUCUACCCCUAUCAAUUUCAUUUUGUUUUAAUGCUUUUUACAAGUCAUAUACCAUUCAGCCCCCUUAGGACAAGUGCGAUUGCCUGUGUCAGAUAAAACUUAUUAAUAGCACAUACGUUUUUCAUUUUUUUAGGUCCUGAAACUUUGUUAUUGUUUUUGGGGUAACAAAGAGGAAGCAAAGCUUGAAACUUCGGUUAAUUUUAGGGACACUGUCUCACUUAUCUGCUGCCCAACUCUAUUUGUAGUUCACCUCUAUAGAUGAGCAAGCAUUUUGUGGAAUUUUCUCAAUUGUGUAUUUCCAACAGGAUUGUGGGACUUUUAGAUGGAAUUUUCAAAGUUAAAAGGACCAAAGUAUCUGGAUUGAAAGAGUAAGGAGGAUUAUUGUGAUUGGAUGAUUCUUUGGAAUUUAAUGGAUAAUUAUUGUUCUUUAUCUUAAAAAGCCCAUUUUGUGAUUGAUGGCCUGAUAUUUUGUAGGCAAACUGCAUAUUUUUGACCUUUCAGAAAAUUUUUUGGAUCUUGUUUUGAAGGUUUAUGCUGUAAAACAAUAUUUUUUCUUUCAUUGGCUUAAUGGGUUGAAGUUUUCUAUUGACAGAGAAAUUACAGAUUCUUCUUC
rnacentral:misc_RNA from 1 species